rnacentral:rRNA from 1 species
AGGACGAACGCUGGCGGCGUGCUUAACACAUGCAAGUCGAGCGGAAAGGCCCUUCGGGGUACUCGAGCGGCGAACGGGUGAGUAACACGUGAGUAACCUGCCCUUGGCUUUGGGAUAACCCUCGGAAACGGGGGCUAAUACCGGAUAUUCACUUCGGCCGGCAUCGGUUGUGGUGGAAAGUUUUUCGGCCAGGGAUGGGCUCGCGGCCUAUCAGCUUGUUGGUGGGGUAAUGGCCUACCAAGGCGACGACGGGUAGCCGGCCUGAGAGGGCGACCGGCCACACUGGGACUGAGACACGGCCCAGACUCCUACGGGAGGCAGCAGUGGGGAAUAUUGCACAAUGGGCGGAAGCCUGAUGCAGCGACGCCGCGUGAGGGAUGACGGCCUUCGGGUUGUAAACCGGCUUUCAGCAGGGACGAAUUGACGGUACCUGCAGAGAAGGCCCGGCCAACUACGUGCCAGCAGCCGC